GCACACACAUACAAGCGAUGCCUCCCGCUCCUCUCAUCCCCUCGACAUACAAUCUGUGAUUGCAGACGCACGAGAUCGCUGCCGCCGACGGAGGGGUGAUCUCGCCGCCGCGGACCUCACAGGGAAGACGCAAUUUCGUACAAUGGGCCACUCCUGUCUCGGACGAGGUCCCAAGCCGCUGCUCCUCCUCUCCCGGGACGCAGCCGCCACUGCAGAACCAGGGAGACGCCGGCGACCGUCGCUGCCAUCGCGGAUCACCAGGAAGCCACCGCCUGCACCGCCACCGUCGCGCCUCGGAUAUGUCGCGGAUCACCAGGACGCGGCCGUCACGGAUCAGGAACACCACGACACCGCCGGCGGCGGCCCCUAGGAUACCGGCGACCGGCGGCGAUCUGAGACCAACGAGUCGACACCACACCCCUGGUACUUCCCUUCCCCAUCCGCCAAUCCUCUACCCCCCUCUACAAAGGCCCAUGCAGCCCUGUCUGUCCGAUUCCGACCUCGCCGGCCACGACCAAGGAUGGAUGUGCAUCCCGACGCCUCUCUUCUCCGUUGAUCCCCAAUAUCCUCCAGGUGAAUCUUCUCCAGAAGAGUGAUUGCUGCACUGGCUUUUGGCUACCGAUGCAAGUUGGGAACUCAUUCAGUGAUUUGAGGGUGCAGGCAGAGAUGAUGCUGCGGAUGGGAUGGGAAGAUGUGUGUGUGCUAGCUGCCAUUGCAGGGACUUUUUAUUUUUCGGAUAGUUCAGCGUCUUAUUACAAAUCUGAUAGUGCUAUCUGCCACACAUACACCAUGCUAUGAAUCUAUUUACAUACGACUCAGAGAAAGAAUUGCUUUGCAGGUACACACUUGCUGCAAACUGAUGUAUUGAACUUUAAAGAAUUUUGAUUGGUCGCCC